UUCCGGUUGAUCCUGCCAGCGGCCACCGCUAUAGGAAUUCGAUUAAGACAUGCGAGUCGAGAGUCGCAACAGACUCGGCGGACUGCUCAGUAACACGUGGAGAACGUGCCCUUAAGCGGGGGAUAAUCUCGGGAAAUUGAGGAUAAUACCCCAUAGGUCAUGGGACCUGGAAUGGCCCAAGGCCGAAAGCUCCGGCGCUUAAGGAUCGCUCUGCGGCCUAUCAGGUAGUAGUGGGUGUAAGGUACCCCCUAGCCGACGACGGGUAUGGGCCUUGAGAGAGGGAGCCCAGAGUUGGAUUCUGAGACACGAAUCC
rnacentral:rRNA from 1 species